UAAGUCCUUCUUAAAUUAGGCCAUUUACCCAUAGAGGGUGCCAGGCCCGUAUAACGUUAAUGAUUAGUAGAUGAUGUUUCCAAAGAGUCGUGUUGCUUGAUAGUGCAGCACUAAGUGGGUGGUAAACUCCAUCUAAAACUAAAUAUAACCAUGAGACCGAUAGUAAACAAGUACCGUAAGGGAAAGUUGAAAAGAACUCUGAAUAGAGAGUUAAACAGUACGUGAAACUGCUUAGAGGUUAAGCCCGAUGAACCUGAAUAUCCGUUAUGGAAAAUUCAUCAUUAAAGUUGUAAUAUUUUAACAAUAUUAUAAUAAUAGUGUGAAUUUUUUCCAUAUAAGGACAUUGUAAUCUAUUAGCAUAUACCAAAUUUAUCAUAAAAUAUGGCUUAUAGUUUAUUCAAAUUAUUAUGCUUGCAUUUUAACAUAGAAUAAAUGUCAUUAAUUUGAUAAAGUGUUGAUAAAUUAAAAUUAAUACAGUGCGUUAAUUUUCCGAAAUUAUAUAAUGGCAUAAUUAUCAUCGAUAUUUGUGUUUAUUAUAAGCAUUUGUAUGAUUAACAAUGCGAAAGAUUCAGGAUACCUUCGGGACCCGUCUUGAAACACGGACCAAGGAGUCUAACAUAUGUGCAAGUUAUUGGGAGAUAAACCUAAUAGCGUAAUUAACUUGACUAAUAAUGGGAUUAGUUUUUAACUAUUUAUAGAUAAUUAACACAAUCCCGGGCGUUCUAUAUAGUUAUGUAUAAUAAUAUUUAUAUUAUUUAUGCCUCUAACUGGAACGUACCUUGAGCAUAUAUGCUGUGACCCGAAAGAUGGUGAACUAUACUUGAUCAGGUUGAAGUCAGGGGAAACCCUGAUGGAAGACCGAAACAGUUCUGACGUGCAAAUCGAUUGUCAGAAUUGAGUAUAGGGGCGAAAGACCAAUCGAACCAUCUAGUAGCUGGUUCCUUCCGAAGUUUCCCUCAGGAUAGCUGGUGCAUUUUAAUGUUAUAUAAAAUAAUCUUAUCUGGUAAAGCGAAUGAUUAGAGGCCUUAGGGUCGAAACGAUCUUAACCUAUUCUCAAACUUUAAAUGGGUAAGAACCUUAACUUUCUUGAUAUGAAGUUUAAGGUUAUGAUAUAAUGUGCCCAGUGGGCCACUUUUGGUAAGCAGAACUGGCGCUGUGGGAUGAACCAAACGUAAUGUUACGGUGCCCAAAUUAACAACUCAUGCAGAAACCAUGAAAGGCGUUGGUUGCUUAAAACAGCAGGACGGUGAUCAUGGAAGUCGAAAUCCGCUAAGGAGUGUGUAACAACUCACCUGCCGAAGCAACUAGCCCUUAAAAUGGAUGGCGCUUAAGUUGUAUACCUAUACAUUACCGCUAAAGUAGAUGAUUUAUAUUACUUGUGAUAUAAAUUUUGAAACUUUAGUGAGUAGGAAGGUACAAUGGUAAGCGUAGAAGUGUUUGGCGUAAGCCUGCAUGGAGCUGCCAUUGGCACAGAUCUUGGUGGUAGUAGCAAAUAAUCGAAUGAGACCUUGGAGGACUGAAGUGGAGAAGGGUUUCGUGUGAACAGUGGUUGAUCACGAGUUAGUCGGUCCUAAGUUCAAGGCGAAAGCCGAAAAUU